GUUGUUUUAGCUUAGGUGGUAGAGUGUGUGACUUUUAAUUAUGUGGUUGUGAGUUAAAUUCCCAUAAAUAAGU
rfam:Gossypium arboreum cultivar AKA8401 contig_55914_1, whole genome shotgun sequence.